CGGACGGUGAGUAACACGUGGAUAACCUACCUAUAAGACUGGGAUAACUUCGGGAAACCGGAGCUAAUACCGGAUAAUAUAUUGAACCGCAUGGUUCAAUAGUGAAAGACGGUUUUGCUGUCACUUAUAGAUUGAUCCGCGCCGCAUUAGCUAGUUGGUAAGGUAACGGCUUACCAAGGCAACGAUGCGUAGCCGACCUGAGAGGGUGAUCGGCCACACUGGAACUGAGACACGGUCCAG
rnacentral:rRNA from 1 species